rnacentral:lncRNA from 1 species
GAAGAAAGCAAAGGUAUUUUAUAUUUUAUUCUCUUUCCUUACGAUUUCAACCUGAGUUCGAAUGUAAAUUCUAAUAUGUUUUCGAUGUGACAUGCAGGCAAGUUCGACGAAAGGAAAAGGUAGUAGACCGACAGGUAGACAUAGCACUAUGGAAAAAGGUGUACUAGAUGUUGACGGCUCUGAACAAUGUUCGUCGUUGACGCCAUUGUCAUCUUCGCAACCAUUUUUGGUACGUAUUUUAUUUCAUUUGGUCCGAGCCUUAUUUAGGGUAUUUUGUAAUGUAGGGUGACAGUAGCAACCAACAAUAGUUACAACGAACAGCUGUGGUUGACAUCGAGGGGCUACAAUUUGUCGAAAAAAAGCGAUGAGCCUUCUUUUAGGAAUGGUCAAGGAUAUCUGCGAAUAUUUUGAUUAGUUCUAGGCUGAUUAUGUAUGGUUUGUGCAAAAAUAUAAUUGUAGCCAAUAGCCAUAUAUUCAUAUUGUAUGGCUUGACUAAUUAUGGCCAGUAGCAUCCAUUUUGUAUUUUCAUUUUAUAUGGCUUGACUAACAAUUAUGGCCAAUAGCCAUGAAAGGCCCUAAAUGGAAAUGAUGAGUUCAUGUGUUUACAAUGAAACUAAGUGGUAAAGUGUUUCCCAUGUAUUUGCAGGUGGUUGUCUUUUAUUUCAAGGAACUGAAACAUCAAGG